rnacentral:misc_RNA from 1 species
GGUCUGCCAAAUCUUUUGUGAAGAACCUUGUCAUGUAAUCAUCGAGCAUAAACUGCCGGUAAAGGGCUGGUUUUUCCGGUGAUACUAGCUCUGGAAUGGGACCAUACAAACGGUCUCUGUUACCAGCAGUGAAGAAAAUAGCGACGGAAACUCGUGGACCGGGUGAAGGAUUAGCCAACACUCUAUGAUCUACGCUUUUGUAUUCAUCAUUGGACAGAAUCUGAAAUAUAUCCCCAAUGUUAACUACAAGAGCUCCAGGAAUAGGUUUAACUUCAACCCAUUCCACACCAUGCUUAACCUGUAAGCCUCCAAUAUGGUCCUGAAGCAGUAGUGUCAAAACCCCAGGAUCGGUAUGCGAUGGAAUUCCAAAGGUGAGAUCAGGCUGAGGGCAGUGUGGAUAAUAAUGACCCAAAAGUACCUUGGAUUCCAAACAUGUCAUUUCCUUCAAUCUUCCCACGUUCAAUCCCAACCCUUCACACAGCAACUCCAUCAAGAUCUCUGCGAGCUGUGAAGCCUGUUGAAUCCACUCGACUAUCUCAUUCCUACACAUCUCAGGGAUCUCC